GAAAGAGCACCUGAGCCCCCUGUCAUUCUGUCUUCUGCCAUUUGAGGAAGCAGUGACGAGGAACAGCAGAAGAUCCUCAACCAUCCCAUUUUCCAGGGGAGAAACUGAGGCUCAAAGGGCAGAGUAAGAGCCUGAGUUGGCAAGGGAGUUGCUGAAUUUGCCUCCAGCCCAUCACUCCCCAAGAUCCAGCUUGCACCAUAGCUCCUCCUGCCUUCCAAAAUACUGUUGUUUUAGGGCAGUGGGAAAUCAACUGAUCAUGAGCUAAUAGAAAUUAGCUUGGAAAGGCGCCAUACCCAUUGUCCUUCUAGAGGGAGGAUGGGGACAUCAGUGGGAACCUGGGCUACCAAGGGAACAAAUCCAGGCUCUACAAGUUUGAAGUUUAAGCAAGCCACUUGCAUCAAUGGAACUCUGGCUCCUGCUCAGUAAAGGGAGAGCUUUGAGCUAGAAUGAUUUCCAUGGCCCCUUUCAGCUGAGAAAUUCUGGUACAUUCAGACAAUCGUCACCCAACGGUAACUGAUAUACUAGAGCCCAGCAGUUCCAAUACUAUUUUUGACAGGCUCCAAGCACCGCCAAGCUCCCUGGAAUUUACCUCCCUGGAGCCACUGCAAAUUCAUCUCAAUUUUGCACCAGUGAGCACAUAAAAGGAGUCAUGACUCAUAGGACAAGUGGACUUUGACUUGAUUUUUCAAGUUUCUCAUUUCACUCAGGACAGAAAUUUGAAAACGGUGUGCUCACUGGUACCUUCCAGGCACAGAAGGUGGUGAGGAGCUGUUCCUGGCCUCUGUCCUUCAUGAUGUCUGACUCCUGGCAACAGUCUGUGCA